AUUGAACGCUGGCGGCAGGCUUAACACAUGCAAGUCGAGCGGGGGAAGGUAGCUUGCUACUGGACCUAGCGGCGGACGGGUGAGUAAUGCUUAGGAAGCUGCCUAUUAGUGGGGGACAACAUCUCGAAAGGGCUGCUAAUACCGCAUAAGUCUUACGGGAGAAAGCAGGGGAUCUUCGGACCUUGCGCUAAUAGAUGGGCCUAAGUUGGAUUAGCUAGUUGGUGGGGUCAGGGCCUACCAAGGCGAAGGUCUGUAGCGGGUCUGAGAGGAUGAUCCGCCACACUGGGACUGAGACACGGCCCAGACUCCUACGGGAGGCAGCAGUGGGGAAUAUUGGACAAUGGGGGGAACCCUGAUCCAGCCAUGCCGCGUGUGUGAAGAAGGCCUUAUGGUUGUAAAGCACUUUAAGCGAGGAGGAGGCUACUCUAGUUAAUACCUAGGGAUAGUGGACGUUACUCGCAGAAUAAGCACCGGCUAACUCUGUGCCAGCAGCCGCCGUAA
rnacentral:rRNA from 1 species